rnacentral:tmRNA from 1 species
GACUGGAUUUGACAGCGGGCUGAACGGAUAUGUAAGCAUGCAGUGCAUUGAUUGUUGGCACUAUAAUCCUAAUGGUCGAAAAUUUAUCUGGCGAAAAUAAUUACGCUCUCGCUGCUUAAUUGAAGUAUAGUAGAUUAACUUUAUCCUGAUGCAAGGCGUCGGGACGAGACAUCACCCGGAAGCUGUUGUUCCGAAGCGUGCCGACAAGGUGGUGCAGCAAAUCGGAAAUAGUCUGAGGCGGCCUCGCGUCUCGGAUGAAAUUUUUAGAGGAUAGGUCGUGGUUUAGUUGCUCUUUCCUAUGCUGUGGCUGAAUCUUUGGAAGAGAUAAGCAUGUAGAAAGCAUCUUCUUUCCUCGUUUGGACGAGGGUUCGAUUCCCUCCUGGUCCACA